rnacentral:rRNA from 1 species
GACGUAGGGCGCGAGCGUUGUCCGGAUUUAUUGGGCGUAAAGAGCUCGUAGGCGGUCUGUCGCGUCGAUCGUGAAAACUUGGGGCUUAACCCUGAGCUUGCGGUCGAUACGGGCAUGACUGGAGUUCGGCAGGGGAGACUGGAAUUCCUGGUGUAGCGGUGAAAUGCGCAGAUAUCGGGAGGAACACCAGCGGCGAAGGCGGCACUCUGGGCUGGAACUGACGCUGAGGAGCGAAAGCGUGGGUAGCAAACAGG